rnacentral:tRNA from 1 species
GCCUUCGUAGUGUAGUGGUUAUCAAGCUGGGCUCGUAUUCCAGAGGUCCAUGAUUCGAAUCCCGGCAAAGGCG